GCCUUAUUUGGAGCAAGGGGUCAGCACAUCUGGCUGCUAACCAGAAGGUUGGUGGUUCAAGCACACCCAGGGAUA